GUUGUCGUAGGGGCCCGGUCCGUGAGGGACUGCUAAGGAAGAGGCUGCAUGGCGCGGUAGUCCCCCGAGUGGAGGUCGGCUGCCCCUGGGAAACCAGAGAGUCGGAGGGAGUCCAUCUGGAGCGGCCAAGUAGGUCGGGGAAGGGCCGCGCCUGACGUCUGGCCGCAGGUGGUGACUCUCAAAAGGAAAUAGGAUCAUGGCAGCAGAUGAUGACAAUGGUGAUGGAACAAGUUUAUUUGAUGUCUUUUCUGCUUCUCCUCUUAAGAACAAUGAUGAAGGCUCACUGGACAUAUACGCUGGGUUGGACAGUGCUGUUUCUGACAGCGCUUCCAAAUCCUGUGUACCAUCAAGAAAUUGUUUGGACUUAUAUGAAGAGAUCCUGACUGAAGAAGGAACUGCAAAGGAGGCAACAUAUAAUGAUUUGCAAGUAGAAUAUGGAAAAUGUCAACUACAAAUGAAAGAGCUGAUGAAAAAAUUUAAAGAAAUACAGACACAGAAUUUCAGCUUAAUAAACGAAAACCAGUCUCUUAAGAAGAAUAUUUCAGCACUUAUCAAAACUGCCAGAGUGGAAAUAAACCGCAAGGAUGAAGAAAUAAGUAAUCUUCACCAAAGAUUGUCUGAGUUUCCACAUUUUCGAAAUAAUCAUAAAACUGCAAGGACAUUUGAUACAGUUAAAACAAAAGAUCUUAAAUCUAGAUCUCCACAUUUGGAUGAUUGUUCAAAGACUGAUCACAGAGCUAAAAGUGAUGUUUCUAAAGAUGUACAUCAUAGCACUUCACUGCCAAAUCUGGAAAAGGAAGGAAAACCACAUUCUGAUAAAAGGAGUACUUCACAUUUACCUACAUCUGUUGAGAAACACUGCACUAAUGGUGUUUGGUCACGUUCUCAUUAUCAGGUUGGCGAGGGUAGCUCAAAUGAGGAUAGUAGAAGAGGAAGAAAAGAUAUUAGACAUAGCCAGUUUAACAGAGGAACUGAAAGAGUACGAAAAGACUUAAGUACUGGCUGUGGUGAUGGUGAACCAAGGAUAUUGGAGGCUAGUCAAAGGCUACAAGGACAUCCUGAGAAAUAUGGUAAAGGUGAACCAAAGACUGAAAGCAAAAGUUCGAAGUUUAAAAGUAACUCAGAUUCUGACUAUAAAGGUGAACGCAUUAACUCUUCUUGGGAGAAAGAGACCCCUGGAGAAAGGUCACACAGUCGAGUAGACUCUCAAAGUGACAAAAAACUAGAAAGACAAAGUGAAAGAUCACAAAAUAUAAAUAGGAAAGAAGUUAAAUCACAAGACAAAGAAGAAAGAAAAGUUGAUCAAAAACCUAAAUCAGUAGUAAAGGACCAAGAUCACUGGAGAAGAUCUGAACGAGCAUCACUUCCUCAUUCCAAGAAUGAAAUAACAUUUUCUCAUAAUUCAAGUAAAUACCAUCUAGAAGAGAGAAGAGGAUGGGAAGAUUGUAAAAGAGACAAGAGUGUAAACAGUCAUAGUUUUCAAGAUGGAAGAUGUCCAUCUUCUCUUUCAAACAGUAGAACUCACAAAAACAUUGACUCUAAGGAAGUUGAUGCCAUGCAUCAGUGGGAAAAUACACCUUUAAAAGCAGAAAGACAUAGAACUGAAGAUAAGAGGAAAAGAGAACAAGAAAGCAAAGAAGAAAAUAGGCAUAUUAGAAAUGAAAAAAGAGUACCUACAGAACAUUUGCAGAAGACUAAUAAGGAAACUAAGAAAACCACUACUGAUUUAAAGAAACAGAAUGAACCAAAGACUGAUAAGGGAGAAGUCCUUGAUAAUGGUGUUUCUGAAGGAGCAGAUAAUAAAGAGCUUGCAAUGAAAGCUGAGAGUGGUCCAAAUGAAACAAAAAACAAGGACCUAAAAUUGAGUUUUAUGAAAAAAUUGAACUUAACUCUUUCUCCUGCUAAAAAGCAACCUGUUUCCCAGGAUAAUCAGCAUAAAAUAACUGAUAUUCCCAAGUCCAGUGGUGUAUGUGAUUCAGAGUCUUCAAUGCAAGUUAAAACAGUGGCAUAUGUUCCCUCCAUAAGUGAACAUAUCUUGGGGGAAGCAGCUGUCAGUGAACAUACCAUGGGGGAAACCAAGUCAACGUUAUUGGAACCAAAGGUUGCUCUUCUAGCAGUGACUGAACCCAGGAUCGGUAUCUCAGAAACCAACAAGGAAGACGAAAAUAGUUUGUUAGUUAGGUCUGUUGACAAUACUAUGCAUUGUGAAGAGCCCAUUUGUGGUACAGAGACUUCCUUCCCAUCUCCUAUGGAAAUACAACAGACAGAAUCCUUGUUUCCAUCAACAGGAAUGAAACAAACCAUUAAUAAUGGAAGGGCAGCAGCUCCUGUGGUAAUGGAUGUAUUACAAACAGAUGUGUCUCAAAACUUUGGCUUGGAAUUGGAUACCAAAAGAAAUGAUAAUUCAGAUUAUUGUGGUAUUUCUGAAGGUAUGGAGAUGAAGGUGGCACUUUCAACAACAGUGAGUGAAACCACUGAAAGCAUUUUGCAGCCUUCAAUUGAGGAAGCUGAUAUUUUGCCAAUAAUGCUUUCAGAAGAUAAUAACCCAAAAUUUGAGCCUUCUGUUAUAGUUACACCACUGGUUGAGAGUAAGUCGUGUCAUCUGGAGCCUUGCUUACCUAAAGAGACUCUAGAUUCUUCACUUCAGCAGACUGAGUUAAUGGACCACAGAAUGGCAACUGGUGAAACAAACUCAGUAUAUCAUGAUGAUGAUAACUCGGUUUUGAGCAUUGACCUUAAUCACCUGAGACCUAUUCCAGAAGCCAUCAGUCCUCUGAAUAGUCCAGUGAGACCUGUAGCAAAAGUUCUUAGAAAUGAAAGCCCACCUCAAGUUCCAGUGUAUAAUAACAGUCAUAAAGAUGUGUUUUUACCAAAUUCAGCUCAUUCUACCUCUAAGAGUCAGUCUGAUCUCAAUAAGGAAAAUCAAAAGCCAAUUUACAAAUCUGACAAAUGUACAGAAGCAGACACAUGUAAGAAUUCACCAUUAGAUGAAUUAGAAGAAGGAGAAAUUAGAAGUGAUAGUGAAACAUCUAAACCACAAGAAAGUUUUGAAAAAAAUUCCAAACGUAGAGUGUCAGCUGAUGUGCGGAAGUCAAAGACUAUCCCACGACGUGGGAAAAGUACUGUGUGUUUAGAUAAAGACAGUAGGAAAACACAUGUAAGAAUCCAUCAGACCAAUAACAAAUGGAAUAAAAGACCUGAUAAAUCUAGCAGAUCUUCAAAAACAGAGAAGAAAGAUAAAGUGAUGAGCACUUCCAGCUUGGAAAAAAUAGUUCCAAUUAUUGCUGUACCCUCUUCUGAACAAGAGAUCAUGCACAUGUUACGAAUGAUAAGAAAACAUGUAAGAAAAAAUUAUAUGAAAUUCAAGGCAAAAUUUUCAUUAAUACAAUUUCACAGAAUUAUUGAGUCAGCAAUUUUGAGUUUUACAUCUUUAAUUAAACAUCUCAACUUACACAAAAUCUCUAAGUCAGUGACUACCUUACAGAAGAAUCUCUGUGAUAUUAUAGAGUCUAAACUUAAGCAAGUUAAAAAGAAUGGCAUAGUUGAUCGUUUAUUUGAACAGCAACUACCAGAUAUGAAAAAAAAAUUGUGGAAGUUUGUAGAUGACCAACUUGAUUAUUUGUUUGCAAAGCUUAAGAAAAUCUUAGUAUGUGAUUCCAAAAGCUUUGGAAGAGAUAGUGAUGAAGGCAAACUUGAAAAAACAAGUAAACAGAAUGCACAGUAUUCAAAUAGUCAGAAAAGGAGUGUGGACAACUCCAACAGAGAAUUGCUGAAAGAAAAAUUAUCAAAAUCAGAAGACCCUGUUCAUUAUAAGUCUUUAGUGGGAUGUAAAAAAUCUGAGGAAAAUUAUCAAGACCAAAAUAACUCCAGUAUUAACACUGUAAAGCAUGACAUUAAAAAAAAUUUUAACAUCUGCUUUGAUAAUAUAAAGAACUCUCAAUCCGAAGAGCGCUCCUUGGAAGUACACUGUCCAAGCACCCCAAAGUCAGAAAAAAACGAAGGAAGCAGCAUAGAGGAUGCACAGACAUCCCAGCAUGCAACUUUGAAGCCAGAACGAAGUUUCGAGAUUCUUACCGAACAGCAAGCAUCGAGCCUUACUUUUAAUUUAGUGAGUGAUGCACAAAUGGGUGAAAUAUUUAAAAGUUUGUUGCAAGGUUCUGAUCUUUUAGACAGCAGUGUUAACUGUACUGAAAAAAGUGAGUGGGAGUUAAAGACUCCAGAGAAGCAGCUGCUAGAGACUCUUAAGUGCGAGUCUAUACCAGCUUGUACAACAGAAGAGCUAGUUUCAGGGGUGGCUUCUCCAUGUCCUAAAAUGAUUAGUGAUGAUAAUUGGUCAUUAUUAUCAUCUGAAAAAGGUCCAUCUCUGUCUUCAGGGCUUUCAUUGCCGGUUCAUCCUGAUGUGUUGGAUGAAAGUUGUAUGUUUGAAGUGUCUACUAACCUACCUUUAAGUAAAGAUAAUGUGUGUAGUGUAGAAAAGAGCAAGCCCUGCGUUUCUUCCAUACUUCUUGAAGAUCUAGCAGUCUCUUUAACAGUACCAUCGCCUCUGAAGUCAGAUGGUCAUCUCAGUUUUUUAAAGCCUGAUAUGUCGUCCAGUUCAACUCCUGAAGAAGUCAUUAGUGCUCAUUUUAGUGAAGAUGCCUUACUUGAGGAAGAGGAUGCAUCUGAGCAAGAUAUUCAUUUAGCUCUGGAGUCUGAUAAUUCAAGCAGUAAAUCAAGUUGUUCUUCUUCCUGGACAAGCCGAUCUGUUGCUCCAGGCUUUCAGUACCACCCUAAUCUACCUAUGCAUGCCGUCAUAAUGGAAAAGUCCAAUGAUCAUUUCAUUGUGAAAAUACGACGUGCAACACCAUCUACCUCUUCUGGCCUUAAACAGAGUAUGAUGCCUGAUGAAUUAUUGACAUCUUUGCCCAGACAUGGAAAGGAAGCUGAUGAAGGACCAGAGAAAGAAUAUAUUUCAUGUCAGAACACAGUUUUUAAAUCUGUGGAGGAAUUGGAAAACUCCAACAAAAAUGUUGAUGGCAGCAAGUCAACUCAUGAAGAACAGAGCUCUAUGAUACAAACACAGGUUCCUGAUAUAUAUGAAUUUCUUAAAGAUGCUUCAGAUAAGAUGGGUCAUAGUGAUGAAGUGGCUGAUGAAUGUUUCAAAUUGCAUCAAGUAUGGGAAACAAAAGUGCCUGAAAGCAUUGAAGAAUUGCCUUCAAUGGAAGAAAUCUCACACUCUGUUGGGGAACAUCUUCCAAACACAUACGUAGAUCUAACGAAAGAUCCAGUCACUGAAACCAAAAACUUGGGGGAAUUCAUAGAAGUAACAGUUUUACAUAUUGAUCAGUUGGGAUGUUCUGGAGGCAAUUUAAAUCAGAGUGCUCAAAUAUUAGACAAUUCUUUGCAGGCUGAUACUGUAGGUGCUUUUAUUGAUUUGACACAAGAUGCUUCAAGUGAGGCUAAAAGUGAAGGUAAUCAUCCUGCAUUAGCUGUGGAAGACUUGGGAUGUGGGGUGAUACAGGUAGAUGAAGAUAAUUGUAAGGAAGAAAAGGCACAAGUGGCAAACAGGCCUUUAAAAUGCAUUGUUGAGGAAACCUAUAUCGACUUGACCACAGAAUCUCCCAGUUCAUGUGAAGUAAAAAAAGAUGAGUUAAAAUCAGAGCCAGGAUCAAAUUGUGAUAACUCGGAGUUGCCUGGGACUUUGCAUAAUUCUCACAAAAAGAGAAGAAACAUUUCUGAUCUAAAUCAUCCUCAUAAAAAACAAAGAAAGGAAACAGACUUAACUAAUAAGGAAAAGACCAAGAAACCUACCCAAGAUUCUUGUGAGAAUACUGAAGCUCACCAAAAGAAAGCCAGUAAGAAGAAGGCCCCUCCUGUGACUAAAGAUCCCUCAUCAUUAAAGGCAACCCCAGGGAUUAAGGAUUCAUCAGCAGCACUUGCCACUUCUACAAGUCUUUCUGCAAAAAAUGUUAUUAAAAAGAAGGGAGAAAUUAUCAUUUUAUGGACAAGAAAUGAUGACCGGGAAAUUUUAUUGGAGUGUCAGAAAAGAGGGCCAUCAUUUAAAACAUUUGCAUAUUUAGCCGCCAAGUUGGAUAAAAAUCCAAAUCAGAUAAGUUGCUGAAUUCCUGGGACUCUUAACUGAUAUUGCAUACUACACAGAAGCUUCAAAUUCCUCAUGUUUUAAAUGAGCACUAGAGGGAGGUUUAUCACCUUUUUGGUUACCAGAUGAUAAUCUAUAUUUGUUAUUACUCAGUGACUCUCUAAUUUCACAUCAGCAUGUUCAGCUUGUGCUAGUCAUCAUUCUGAUUUGCUUAUCUGUUUUUGGUCAAAAUAUUUAUUUUUAAACAUGUUAGAACUUACCAAAAUGAAAGCAACAGUGAUGUAUUGAAAUCUUAGUUUUGAUAUUUUAAAGAAAUGACUUUCUAGAUUAAAAAAAUAGUUUUGUAGCAUUUUAAACUUAGUGACUAUUUAGUUCAAUUGUUCAUCCAUUUUUUAUUUGCUUUUAUAAUUGCCUCCUUGUUUUGGUAUAUUGUAAAAUAAUUUAAAUAAUGUAUUUAUAAAUAUGUAUAAUUAUGAUGUAAAAUACCGUGUGUAUAUGUAUGUAUGUGUGUUUCUGUAUAUGCACACACAUAAACGGCUUUGCCUAGCCAAGGAUUUUUUUUAUCUGUAUAAAACUUUUUGUAUAAAGUUUGCUUUCAAUAACAGUAAUGUAUAAUAAAACCAUGUAAAGUUUUGUUGUA
rnacentral:misc_RNA from 1 species